GAUGAACGCUGGCGGCGUGCUUAACACAUGCAAGUCGAACGGAAAGGCCCAAGCUUGCUUGGGUACUCUAGUGGCGAACGGGUGAGUAACACGUGGGUGAUCUGCCCUGCACUUCGGGAUAAGCCUGGGAAACUGGGUCUAAUACCGGAUAGGACCACAUUUUGGAUGGUGUGGUGGAAAGUUUUUCGGUAUGGGAUGAGCUCGCGGCGUAUCAGCUUGUUGGUGGAGUAAUGGCCUACCAAGGGGUUGACGGGUAGCCGGCCUGAGAGGGUGUACGGCCACAUUAGUACUGAGAUACGCCCCAGACUCCUACGUUACGCAGCAGUCGAGAAUAUUGCACAAUAGCCGCAAGCCUGAUGCAGCGACGCCGCGUUCGUAAUAACGUCCUUCUAGUUGUAAACUCCUUUCUCUAUAAACGAAGCCCAAUUGACGGUACCUAGACAAAAAGCACCGGCUAACUACGUG
rnacentral:rRNA from 1 species